UACAGACAGAAGCAGGGCAAUCAAUAGACAGGUCCUCCUUCUCCAAAGUCACAAUAACCUUGUCUAACACAUCCUCUUCCACAGAAACACACUGUAGUUACAAAUACAAACUGAAAGAACAGUAAGCAAGAACCUUUAGAAGUCCAAAAGCCAUUAAAUAAUUAAAUAAGUGCUAUUGAUCCGUGCCCCUUAUCUGAAUCUGUAAGUCUUUAUAGCUAAAGCACCUUUAUCUGAUCUUGCUCCCAU
ensembl:lncRNA